GACGAACGCUGGCGGCGUGCUUAACACAUGCAAGUCGAGCGGUAAGGCCCUUUCGGGGUACGACGAGCGGCGAACGGGUAGGAGUAACACGUGGGUGGACCUCGCCCUCCAGCUCUGGGAGUAAGACCUCGGGAAACCGGGGUACCGUAAUAACUGGAGUAUGACUCCACUGACGCAUGUUGGUUGGGGUGGGAAAGACCUU
rnacentral:rRNA from 1 species